rnacentral:rRNA from 1 species
GGUUCAGUAUGGCUCAGAUUGAACUUUGGCGGGAUGCUUUACACAUACAUGCAAGUCCCGAACGGCAGCACGGACUUCGGUCUGGUGGCGAGUGGCGAACAGGUGAGUAAUGUAUCGGAACGUGCCUAGUAGCGGGGGAUAACUACGCGAAAGCGUAGCUAAUACCGCAUGCACGCCCUUCGGGGAAAGCGGGGGACCUUCGGGCCUCGCAUAUUAAACUGACCAGUGACUAUCGGAUUAGCUAGUUGGUGGGGUAACGGCUCACCAAGGCGACGAUCCGUAGCUGGUUUAGAAGGGACGACCAGCCACACUGGGCGAGACACGACUUCAAAGCUCUCCCGAAGGCAGCAGUGGGAAAUUUUGGACAAUGGGGAAACCCUGAUCCAGCCAUCCCCGCGUGUGCAUUGAAGGCCUUCGGGUUGUAAAGCACUUUUGGCAGGAAAGAAACGGCACGGGAUAUGCCGUGCAACUGACCGUACCACCAGAAUACUUUUCCGGCUAACUACGUGCCAGCGGCGCGCGAUAAUACGUAGGGUGCAAGCGUUAAUCAGAAUUACUGAGUAAAGCGUGCGCAGGCGGUUCGGAAAAGAAGAUGUGAAAUCCCAGAGCUCCUUUGGAACUGCAUUUUUUUAACUACCGAGCUAGAGUGUCAGAGGGAGAAGUGAAAUUCGUGUAGCAGUGAAAUGCGUAGAUAUGCGGAGGAACACCGAUGGCGAAGGCAGCCUCUGGGAUAACACUGACGCUCAUGCACGGCACAGUGGGAGCAAACGGGAUUAGGCUACCCUGGUAGUCCACGCCCUAAACGAUGUCAACUAGCUGUUGGGGCCUUCGGGCCUUGGUAGCGCAGCCAGCAGCGGAGAAGUUGACCGCCUGGGGAAGUACGGUCACCAGACAAAACUCAAAGGAAUUGACGGGGACCCACACAAGCAGUGGAUGAUGUGGAUUAAUUCCGUGCAACGCGAAAAACCUUACCGCCACCCUUGACAUGUCUGGAAUCCCGAAGAGAUUUGGGAGUGCUCGCAAGAGAACCGGAACACAGGUGCUGCAUGGCUGUCGUCAGCUCGUGUCGUGAGAUGUUGGGUUAAGUCCUGCAACGAGCGCAACCGCCAUCAUUAGUUGCUACGAAGGGGCGCUCUAAUGAGACUGCCGGUGACAAACCGGAGGAAGGUGGGGAUGACGUCGAGUCACCUCAUGGCCCUUCGGUGGGGCUUCACACGUCGCCCAAUGGUGGGACAGAGGGUCGCCAACCCGCGAGGAGCCAAUCCCAGAAACCCGAUCGUAGUCCGGAUCGCAGUCUGCAACUCGACUGCGUGAAGUCAGAAUCGCCUUUAGUAAUCGCGGAUCAGCAUGUCGCGGUGAAUACGUUCGGGUCUUGUACACCGCCCGUCACCAUGGGAGUGGGUUUUUUACCGAAGUAGUUAGCCUAACCGUAAGGAGGGCGAUUACCACGGUAGGAUUCAUGACUGGGGUGAAGUCGUAACAAGGUAACUCUGUUCUACCUG